rnacentral:rRNA from 1 species
GAAGAACGCUAGCUACAGGCUUAACACAUGCAAGUCGAGGGGUAACAAGAGAAAAGCUUGCUUUUCUUGUUGACGACCGGCGCACGGGUGAGUAACGCGUAUCCAACCUGCCUAUAACUAGGGAAUAACCUUGCGAAAGUAAGACUAAUACUCUAUGAUUUCCUUUGAUGACAUCAGAUUAGGAAUAAAGAUUUAUCGGUUAUAGAUGGGGAUGCGUCUGAUUAGCUUGUUGGCGGGGUAACGGCCCACCAAGGCAACGAUCAGUAGGGGCUCUGAGAGGAAGGUCCCCCACAUUGGAACUGAGACGCGGUCCAAACUCCUACGGGAGGCAGCAGUGAGGAAUAUUGGUCAAUGGGCGGAAGCCUGAACCAGCCAAGUAGCGUGCAGGAUGACGGCCCUAUGGGUUGUAAACUGCUUUUAUACAGGAAUAAAGUUAGCCACGUGUGGUUAUUUGUAGGUACUGUAUGAAUAAGGACCGGCUAAUUCCGUGCCAGCAGCCGCAGUAA